UGGGGAAUAUUGCACAAUGGGCGAAAGCCUGAUGCAGCAACGCCGCGUGAGUGAUGAAGGCCUUCGGGUUGUAAAGCUCUGUCUUUUGGGACGAUAAUGACGGUACCAAAGGAGGAAGCCACGGCUAACUACGUGCCAGCAGCCGCGGUAAUACGUAGGUGGCAAGCGUUGUCCGGAUUUACUGGGCGUAAAGGAUGCGUAGGCGGAUUUUUAAGUGAGAUGUGAAAUACCCGGGCUUAACUUGGGUGCUGCAUUUCAAACUGGGAAUCUAGAGUGCGGGAGAGGAGAAUGGAAUUCCUAGUGUAGCGGUGAAAUGCGUAGAGAUUAGGAAGAACACCAGUGGCGAAGGCGAUUCUCUGGACCGUAACUGACGCUGAGGCAUGAAAGCGUGGGUAGCAAACAGGAUUAGAUACCCUGGUAGUCCACGCCGUAAACGAUGAGUACUAGGUGUAGGAGGUAUCGACCCCUUCUGUGCCGCAGUUAACACAAUAAGUACUCCGCCUGGGAAGUACGAUCGCAAGAUUUAAAAGCUCAAAUGAAUUGACGGGGGUCAUAGCUG
rnacentral:rRNA from 1 species